rnacentral:misc_RNA from 1 species
UUCUUUGGGCAUUCCCGAGC